GAUGAACGCUGGCGGCGUGCCUAAUACAUGCAAGUCGAGCGAACAGAUAAGGAGCUUGCUCCUUUGACGUUAGCGGCGGACGGGUGAGUAACACGUGGGUAACCUACCUAUAAGACUGGAAUAACUCCGGGAAACCGGGGCUAAUGCCGGAUAACAUUUAGAACCGCAGGGUUCUAAAGUGAAAGAUGGUUUUGCUAUCACUUAUAGAUGGACCCGCGCCGUAUUAGCUAGUUGGUAAGGUAACGGCCUACCAAGGCAACGAUACGUAGCCGACCUGAGAGGAUGAUCGGCCACACUGGAACUGAGACACGGUCCAGACUCCUACGGGAGGCAGCAGUAGGGAAUCUUCCGCAAUGGGCGAAAGCCUGACGGAGCAACGCCGCGUGAGUGAUGAAGGUCUUCGGAUCGUAAAACUCUGUUAUUAGGGAAGAACAAAUGUGUAAGUAACUGUGCACGUCUUGACGGUACCUAAUCAGAAAGCCACGGCUAACUACGUG
rnacentral:rRNA from 1 species